AUCGUCAUUCGUUGUAACAAAAUUUGCAUCGGGUAAUGAAACAAUAUACAUGUAUGAUGUAGUCUCACAGAAGGUACUAACAGUUGGUCAUGACCUAGGCUAGAGGUCAAGUUUGGUAUGCAUAUUGCCAAGUCAGCAAGAGUACUCAGAUGCAACGUAUUCUGUGCAUGCAGUACGACGGUUGUAGUUUGAACCAGUUCUGGAAGCUUCCACACAGGUGGGUGUGUCUAUUCCCUUGCAGAUGAAAGAAGCUAUUGACCUUAAAAACACGGGUCCUCUGUAGACGCUCGAUGUAAUUGCAUACAUGUACGUUCAGCAGAACACCGAGUUUGAACGUGGCGAGGGUACGAAGACGAGGAGAGUGCUAUUCAUGAGAAUGCUGCUGAACCAGACAGAGUAUCUGCAUCAAAACUACAGUUUACAUUACACGUGGAGACACCAUCAAGAAAGUCUCGAACUACAACACGUACAAUGAUGCGCUUCUUCUCCAGCCUUGGGGUACUAUGCCUUUGAUUUGGAUUAUCCAAAGUAUUUUCACAUGCUUUGAGUUCUUUUCAAAAAACCAUAAUCAGAGAAAAAUUUUCCUGGCAGAUUCCAGCGAAUUCAUGCAAUUCACUACAAGGUAUUUGUGUAUAAAUUAAUUGGAUAUAUUGUUGAAAUCUCAGCUAAAGAUCAAUACUUAUUUUACCACUUCAAACUAUAACGCAAA